UGCCUUCGGGAACUGUGAGACAGGUGCUGCAUGGCUGUCGUCAGCUCGUGUUGUGAAAUGUUGGGUUAAGUCCCGCAACGAGCGCAACCCUUAUCCUUUGUUGCCAGCGAUUAGGUCGGGAACUCAAAGGAGACUGCCAGUGAUAAACUGGAGGAAGGUGGGGAUGACGUCAAGUCAUCAUGGCCCUUACGACCAGGGCUACACACGUGCUACAAUGGCGCAUACAAAGAGAAGCGACCUCGCGAGAGCAAGCGGACCUCAUAAAGUGCGUCGUAGUCCGGAUUGGAGUCUGCAACUCGACUCCAUGAAGUCGGAAUCGCUAGUAAUCGUGGAUCAGAAUGCCACGGUGAAUACGUUCCCGGGCCUUGUACACACCGCCCGUCACACCAUGGGAGUGGGUUGCAAAAGAAGUAGGUAGCUUAACCUUCGGGAGGGCGCUUACCACUUUGUGAUUCAUGACUGGGGUGAAGUCGUAACAAGGUAACCGUAGGGGAACCUGCGGUUGGAUCACCUCCUUACCUUAAAGAAGC
rnacentral:rRNA from 1 species